rnacentral:rRNA from 1 species
GACGAACGCUGGCGGCGUGCUUAACACAUGCAAGUCGAACGGACAGGCCCUGCUUUUGUGGGGUUCUCGAUUGGCGAACGGGUGAGUAACACGUGAGUAACCUGCCCUUGUCUUUGUGAUAACUUCAGGAAACUGGGGCUAAUACCGGAUAUGAGCUCCUGCUGCAUGGUGGGGUUUGGUAAGUUUCGGCGGUUGGGGAUGGACUCGCGGCUUAUGGGCUUGUUGGUGGGGUAGUGGCUUACCAAGGCUUUGAGGGGUAGCCGGCAUGUGAGGGUGGCCGGCGACAUUGGGACUGAGGUACGGCCCAGACGGCAACGGGAGGCAGCAGUGGGAAAUAUUGCAGAAUGGGCGGAAGCGUGAGGCAGCAGCGCCGCGUGCGGGAUGACGGCCUUCGGGUUGUAAACCGAUUUGGCAUGUGACGAAGCGGGAGUGACGGUAAUGGGUAAAGAAGCACCGGCUAACUACGUG